rnacentral:rRNA from 1 species
UACGUAGGGGGCUAGCGUUGCUCGGAAUUACUGGGCGUAAAGCGCACGUAGGCGGCUCUUUAAGUCGGAGGUGAAAUCCUGGAGCUCAACUCCAGAACUGCCUUCGAUACUGUAGAGCUUGAGUUCGGGAGAGGUGAGUGGAACUGCGAGUGUAGAGGUGAAAUUCGUAGAUAUUCGCAAGAACACCAGUGGCGAAGGCGGCUCACUGGCCCGAUACUGACGCUGAGGUGCGAAAGCGUGGGGAGCAAACAGG